rnacentral:rRNA from 1 species
GUCCGCUCUCCCAUAGAUAAGCAGAUAAUCGCCAGACUAGUACUCGGGUGGGUGACCACCGGGGAAUCCCUGGUGUUGUACGUU